GGCUGUCACUGGCUCGGCCAGCAUUUAUUGCUGCGUUUACCCAGAGGGCAGUUAAGAGUCAACCACGUUGCUAUAGGUCUGGAGUCCCAUGCAGACCAGACCAGAUCCCAGUGAUCAGUGCCAAAGCCCCAUUGCCUGUGGAGAGGGUGAUGUUUGAUUUCCCUGUCCAGCUGCAAUUCGUGUGGUGAAGGUGCUCCCACAAUGUGGUUGGGGUGCUUGAUGGUGAAGAUUUGCAGACUGAAAUCUCAAACUCAUGUGCAGAUCGUGAUUAAGUUAACC